AUUGAAUUAUACUAAUUAGUAAUAUAAUAAUCAAAUAAUUCAAACGAGAACUAAAUGGAAUACCAUAACAAAAAUUUUUAAAAUAAGCAUUUUACCAAGUCCUUCCCAAAAAUUGAGUGAAGUUUUUAUUAUCAUUUUGGGAUUAUAAGUUCUUGGCUGGAAAGUUAAUUUAAAUUUUUCACAAUUAAUUUUUAUGUUAUACAGAAGCAAAGCUAAAAAGAGUUACCUAUAGUUAUUUGAAUCCCAUCAACAUCAGAGGGUUUUGCACAAUAGAAAAUGGCCCUAUUAUAGCAUAAAAUUAAAAGAUAGAAAUAAUGUAGCCGGAUGCUAGAAAGGAAAGGUGGGUUCACAAACGUGAAGCGUCCAUUAUAUAUCCUUUGUAGCAGUUGUGGAGUCCUCUAUAAUUUGGGAUUUUUAUUUUAAAAUUUUAAGAUCAAGUAACUAUAUAAUCUAUAGACACCAUUGUUCUCUCAUCAUACACAAUCAUUGAAAUCAUUAAAUUUCAAUUUAAUAAAAUUAUAAUUGGCUUCAAAAUUAUAAAAUUUCAGAUCUAAAUUCAAUCGAAU
rnacentral:misc_RNA from 1 species